GUCCCUGUAGAGUAAUGGAUAGUUCUUUGAACUCCUAAUCCAAAGGUCGUGGGUUUGAAUCCCAUCUGGAGCG